rnacentral:rRNA from 1 species
UAGGGAAUCUUCCGCAAUGGGCGAAAGCCUGACGGAGCAACGCCGCGUGAGUGAUGAAGGUCUUCGGAUCGUAAAACUCUGUUAUUAGGGAAGAACAAAUGUGUAAGUAACUAUGCACAUCUUGACGGUACCUAAUCAGAAAGCCACGGCUAACUACGUGCCAGCAGCCGCGGUAAUACGUAGGUGGCAAGCGUUAUCCGGAAUUAUUGGGCGUAAAGCGCGCGUAGGCGGUUUUUUAAGUCUGAUGUGAAAGCCCACGGCUCAACCGUGGAGGGUCAUUGGAAACUGGAAGACUUGAGUGCAGAAGAGGAAAGUGGAAUUCCAUGUGUAGCGGUGAAAUGCGCAGAGAUAUGGAGGAACACCAGUGGCGAAGGCGACUUUCUGGUCUGUAACUGACGCUGAGGCUCGAAAGCGUGGGUAGCAAACAGG